UUUCAUGUGUUUGAACGAACAGGAGCACCAGAAGCACUAAUGGAUUAGGGAGCAACUGUUAGAGGAGGCUACAUACAUACAGACUAAAUCGACCGCACAGCUCCAUGUGAUGGUGACAUAAAUGAGCUGUCAGCACAGAUCAAAUCACCACAGGCUCCCUCGCAGCCCAUUACGACGCAAAUGGAGAGGAGAAUCAAUGCAACCAAAACAAAAUACUUCCAGCUGCAGACUCUUGUCAGCAAAGAGCGAUGGGCAAGAGAGUGGGAGAGAAACAAGGGAGGCCAACAAAGACCAGAACAGUUCUAUGAGCUCUCACACUCAAUCACGACCAAUGAGGAAAACAAGACAAGAAAGCCAUUAUCUGUCAUGUUUGAUUAUGAAUGCACGUGUGACGCUUUUGUGGGGUUGAACACAUGCAACCACCGAAAUCUCUGGACAUCUUAGAACACGUACAAUGCUACUAGUUAUACAGAGAUAUUUAGCCAAAGUACUGUCUUUUUGUUUUCACAUUGAAAAUAAAUGCAUUGUCAAAAGAGAUAUAUUGACAUAUUGGCAAU